rnacentral:rRNA from 1 species
UUCCGGUUGAUCCCGCCGGACCCCACUGCUAUCGAGAUGGGACUAAGGUAUGCUAGUCGAACGACCAGAACUAUGUCUGGGAGUGGCACACUGCUCAGUAACACGUAGCUAACCUACCCUUAGGACGUGGAUACCCCCGAGAAAUUGGGGUUAAUCCGCGAUAGGUGUAAUGUCCUGGAAUGGUAUUACGUCUAAAGGUAUUUCAUACAUGUUUGAAAUAUGCCUAAGGAUGGGGCUGCGGCCGAUCAGGCUGUUGGUGAGGUAAUGGCUCACCAAACCUUUGACCGGUACGGGCCAUGAGAGUGGUAGCCCGGAGAUGGACACUGAGACAAGGGUCCAGGCCCUAAGGGGCGCAGCAACCGCGAAACCUCCACAAUGCACUCACGUGCGAUGGGGCUAUCUCGAGCGCCACCUGAUGAAGGUGGCUUUUCCUAGGUCUUCAAAGCCUUGGGAAUAAGAGGGGGGCAAGACUGGUGUCAGCCGCCGCGGUAACACCAGCCCCUCGAGUGGUGGGGAUGAUUAUUUGGCCUAAAGCGUCCGUAGCCGGCCGAGCAAGUCUUCCGUUAAAUCCAGCGUCUCAAGCGUUGGACUGCGGGAGAUACUACACGGCUAGAGAGUGGGAGAGGUCAGCGGUAUUCUGGGGGUAGGGGCGAAAUCCUUUGAUCCCCGGAGGACCACCAGUGGCGAAGGCUGCUGACUAGAACACGUCUGACGGUCAGGGACGAAGCUGGGGUAGCGAACCGGAUUAGAUACCCGGGUAGUCCCAGCCGUAAACGAUGCAUGCUAGGUGUUGGGUUGGCCACGCGCCACCCCA